rnacentral:rRNA from 1 species
UACGUAGGUGGCAAGCGUUAUCCGGAAUUAUUGGGCGUAAAGCGCGCGUAGGCGGUUUCUUAAGUCUGAUGUGAAAGCCCACGGCUCAACCGUGGAGGGUCAUUGGAAACUGGGGAACUUGAGUGCAGAAGAGGAGAGUGGAAUUCCAUGUGUAGCGGUGAAAUGCGCAGAGAUAUGGAGGAACAUCAGUGGCGAAGGCGGCUCUCUGGUCUGUAACUGACGCUGAUGUGCGAAAGCGUGGGGAUCAAACAGG